rnacentral:rRNA from 1 species
CCUACGGGUGGCUGCAGUGGGGAAUAUUGCACAAUGCGGGAAACCCUGAUGCAGCGACGCCGCGUGAGUGACGAAGUCUUUCGGUAUGUAAAGCUCUAUCAGCAGGGAAGAAGAAGGACGGUAGCUGACUAAGAAGCCCCGGCUAACUACGUGCCAGCAGCCGCGGUAAUACGGAGGGGGCAAGCGUUAUCCGGAUUUACUGGGUGUAAAGGGAGCGUAGACGGCGGUGCAAGUCUGAAGUGAAAGCCCAGGGCUCAACCCUGGGAAUGCUUUGGAAACUGUGGUGCUAGAGUGCUGGAGAGGUAAGUGGAAUUCCUAGUGUAGCGGUGAAAUGCGUAGAUAUUAGGAGGAACACCAGUGGCGAAGGCGGCUUACUGGACAGUAACUGACGUUGAGGUGCGAAAGCGUGGGUAGCAAACAGGAUUAGAUACCCUAGUAGUC